rnacentral:lncRNA from 1 species
CAAAGACUGGUUUAUGCCCACGUCAGGCUGUGUGGGCUGCAGACCCACCCCAGGGCCGUGUCUCUGCCCUCAGUGCCCCAGCUCUGGAGCACAGGCUGUGAACGUGGCCCUCCCGGAGGACCGAGCCCAGGUCCGCAUUCAGAUGCCCUCCUCAUCUCGAGGGCGUGCGGAGUGUGAUGGAAACACAGGCGGAUAUGAGGGAUACACUCCUCCUUCUCCAUUUUCCUUUGCUUGAGCCAAUGACUUGGUUUUUGUAGAACACAACUUUCCCCUGGAGGGCGAAGAGCCACCACGCCCAGCCUGGAGGUUAUUUUCUGAUCCCAAGGGAAUUUCAUGCAAAUUGUUUAUGUUAUCAAUUCCUGCUAGGGGCUCUCAAAGACAUCUCUGCGUGAGGUUUCAGAGGUACCCACAGAGGCCGCAGGCCCAAGCCCCUCUUGAAUGGUGGAAUUGUGCUUUUCCAGGACACAGAAGCACUGAAUGCCACACUUCGCUGCCCCCAGUUUUUACUCCUCACACUGGAUUCUUAAAGAGAUUCACUGCUGUUUCUCCUCACUGGACAAAGAUGAAAUGUGCUUUCUGUCGAUGUCGUCCAAGAGACAGAAUCUGAAUACUCGUAAAUAAAUGGCAAAACACUGCAGAUGGCAUUUUAAGUGACUAUUUGUGAUUUAGAGAGGAUUCAUUGUGUGUUUGGUUUUCUCUGAGCCCUUAUCGGACGCCUUUGUUCCUUCUUCAGGGGACGUUCAUGGAGCCACUAUUGGGCUCUGGACACUGAACAAAGGAGGAUGACAUCCCAAAAAACGAGACCAUGACCCAGCUGGGAAGACAGAGCCCAGCCGGUCUCUUCCUCCCUCCUCUCUCUCUGUCUCUCUCACACACACCCACUCUCUUUAAUGAAAUGACACAUCUACACAAUUUUCAACAACAGCUGCUAAAAUGACCCAGUGAGAGGCAGAGGGAACUGUGUGAUAGGCACAUCAGGCCAACGCCUGGUUAUUUCUGAUACCCUUCCUGAUGGGUGGGACACAGUCAAAAGGACAUCAAAGGUUCUUUGGUGAGGGCUUUUUGCCAAAAUUUAAACCGGAGUCCGACCACGAUCCAGUUACUAAUUUAAAGAAAACACAGAGGCCGGGCAUGGUGGCUCGUGCCUGUAAUCCCAGCACUUUGGGAGGCUGAGGUGGGUGGAUCACCUGAGGUCAGGAGUUUGAGACCAGCCUGACCAACAUGGUGAAACCCUGUCUCUACUAAAAGCCAGGUGCAGUGGCUCAUGCCUGUAAUCCCAGCUACCAGGGAGGCUGAGGCAGGAGAAUCACUCGAACCUGUGAGGCAGAGGUUGCAGUGAGCUAAGAUCACACUACUGCACUUCAGCCUGGGCAACAGGGUGAGACUCCAUCUCAAAACAAAACAACCAAACAAAAAAAGAAAAUACAGGGACAGAGGAACAUGUUAGAAACACCACAGGGGUAAAAUUUGGCAGAAUCUUGAGUGUGUGUGGGAAUGUCUAUAGGACAAAUGAACUUUCUUCAACAAAAACUAAAAAACAAACAAAACCACACACACACAGAAGAUGUCCUCUGCAGAUCGAAAGAACUUAAGAGGCAUAGAAACCAAAUGUGUGAACCUCAUUUGGGUUUGGUGAACCAACUGUCUGUAAAAUAACGAGUGUGAGAGAGGGUGGAACUAUCAAAUAUGGAGAGGACUGUAGAUGAUUUUCGGAAAUGAUCAAGGUGUUCGGCACAGAUGGCAUAGAUGCUGGGCUAAAAAGAAGUCCUUGUUUUCUAGAGGUACACACAGCAAAGUACUUCCGGAUAAAAUUACUCUGUGUCUAGGAUUUAUUUUUAAACAGUCCAUUUUGGAGUAUUAGUGAGUGUGGCUGUGGCUGAAACCAUAUUGAUCGUGUGUUUAAAACCAUUAAAUAUGGGUGACGGUGGCCGGGCGCGGCGGCUCACGCCUGUAAUCCCAGCACUUUG